UCCAGUUCCUGUCAUUGCUCAUCUUUUGCUAAAGCUGAAAACUCAAAGCAAAAGAAACCAUGAGGCUGUCCUUUCCUGUCCUGCUGGUCACUCUGGCCUUUUGCUGCUACGAGGUCAAUGCAGAAGUCUGUCCAUCUAUUCUUGUGACAUUGAGAUCCUUCACACUGGGUACUAUACCAGAGUUGAAGAGCAUUCUUGAGAAAUAUAAUCCACCAGAAGCAGCUCUUUCGGCCCCACUAGAAGUGAAGGAAUGCAUAAAUGAAAUCUCCAUGAAGGACAGACACCAUAUUCUCCAUAUAUUGAUGAGAGUAACUUCCACAUGUGCCUCCUAGGUUGAAAAAGAAUCUUACACACAUUGAUCUCUGACGUUCCAUGUGACCUGAUCUUCCCAGAAAAUGUAAAGGUUUCAACAUCUUGCUUCAAUAAAUCACUCACCCUGCA